CAGCCGCCACGGUAAUACGUAGGGUGCGAGCGUUAAUCGGAAUUACUGGGCGUAAAGCGUGCGUAGGCGGUGAGUUAAGUCUGCUGUGAAAUCCCCGGGCUCAACCUGGGAAUGGCAGUGGAUACUGGCUCGCUAGAGUGUGUCGGAGGAUGGUGGAAUUCCCGGUGUAGCGGUGAAAUGCGUAGAGAUCGGGAGGAACAUCAGUGGCGAAGGCGGCCAUCUGGGACAACACUGACGCUGAGGCACGAAAGCGUGGGGAGCAAACAGGAUUAGAUACCCCCGUAGUCCCUGUCUCUUAUAC
rnacentral:rRNA from 1 species